UGCCAGACUCCUACGGGAGGCAGCAGUGGGGAAUAUUGCACAAUGGGGGAAACCCUGAUGCAGCGACGCCGCAUGAGUGAAGAAGUAAUUCGUUAUGUAAAGCUCUAUCAGCAGGGAAGAAAAUGACGGUACCUGAGUAAGAAGCCCCGGCUAACUACGUGCCAGCAGCCGCGGUAAUACGUAGGGGGCAAGCGUUAUCCGGAUUUACUGGGUGUAAAGGGAGCGUAGACGGCAGUGCAAGUCUGGAGUGAAAGGUGGGGGCUCAACCCCCGGACUGCUCUGGAAACUGUACGGCUGGAGUGCAGGAGAGGUAAGUGGAAUUCCUAGUGUAGCGGUGAAAUGCGUAGAUAUUAGGAGGAACACCAGUGGCGAAGGCGGCUUACUGGACUGUAACUGACGUUGAGGCUCGAAAGCGUGGGGAGCAAACAGGAUUAGAUACCCUCGUA
rnacentral:rRNA from 1 species